UACGGAGGAUGCGAGCGUUAUCCGGAUUCAUUGGGUUUAAAGGGUGCGCAGGCGGGCCUUUAAGCCGGCGGUGAAAUCGCGGGGCUCAACCCCGCCGAGCCGUCGGAACUGGGGGCCUUGAGUGCGGCGGAGGCAUGCGGAAUGCGCGGUGUAGCGGUGAAAUGCAUAGAUAUCGCGCAGAACCCCGAUUGCGAAGGCAGCGUGCCGUGCCGCCACUGACGCUGAGGCACGAAAGCGCGGGGAUCGAACAGG
rnacentral:rRNA from 1 species